rnacentral:rRNA from 1 species
UACGUAGGUGGCGAGCGUUAUCCGGAAUUAUUGGGCGUAAAGAGCGCGCAGGUGGUUGAUUAAGUCUGAUGUGAAAGCCCACGGCUUAACCGUGGAGGGUCAUUGGAAACUGGUCGACUUGAGUGCAGAAGAGGGAAGUGGAAUUCCAUGUGUAGCGGUGAAAUGCGUAGAGAUAUGGAGGAACACCAGUGGCGAAGGCGGCUUCCUGGUCUGUAACUGACACUGAGGCGCGAAAGCGUGGGGAGCAAACAGGAUUAGAUACCCCU